rnacentral:rRNA from 1 species
CUGAGUACGGCGGAACACGUGAAAUUCCGUCGGAAUCCGGGAGGACCAUCUCCCAAGGCUAAAUACUCCCUAGUGACCGAUAGUGAACCAGUACCGUGAGGGAAAGGUGAAAAGCACCCCGGAAGGGGAGUGAAACAGUUCCUGAAACCGUGUGCCUACAAGUAGUUAGAGCCCGUUAAUGGGUGAUAGCGUGCCUUUUGUAGAAUGAACCGGCGAGUUACGAUUUGUUGCAAGGUUAAGCGGAAAAAGCGGAGCCGUAGCGAAAGCGAGUCUGAAUAGGGCGCAUAAGUAACAGGUCGUAGACCCGAAACCAGGUGAUCUACCCAUGUCCAGGAUGAAGGUAAGGUAAUACUUACUGGAGGUCCGAACCCACGCACGUUGAAAAGUGCGGGGAUGAGGUGUGGGUAGCGGAGAAAUUCCAAUCGAACUUGGAGAUAGCUGGUUCUCUCCGAAAUAGCUUUAGGGCUAGCCUCGAGGUAAAGAGUCAUGGAGGUAGAGC